UAAGUGAAUAGUGAAAUCUUGUGGCUCAACCAUGAGGCUAUUAUUCAAACUGGCAGACUCGAGAAUGAGAGAGGUCACUGGAAUUCCCUGUGUAGGAGUGAAAUCCGUAGAUAUAGGGAGGAACACCAAUGGCGUAGGCAGGUGACUGGCUCAUUUCUGACACUGAGGCACGAAAGCGUGGGAGCGAACGGGAUUAGAUACCCCGGUAGUCCACGCCGUAAACGAUGGAUACUA
rnacentral:rRNA from 1 species